AUUGAACGCUGGCGGCAUGCCUUACACAUGCAAGUCGAACGGCAGCAUGAUCUAGCUUGCUAGAUUGAUGGCGAGUGGCGAACGGGUGAGUAAUACAUCGGAACGUGCCCUGUAGUGGGGGAUAACUAGUCGAAAGAUUAGCUAAUACCGCAUACGCCCUGAGGGUGAAAGUGGGGGACCGCAAGGCCUCAUGCUAUAGGAGCGGCCGAUGUCUGAUUAGCUAGCUGGUGAGGUAAAGGCUCACCAAGGCGACGAUCAGUAGCUGGUCUGAGAGGACGAUCAGCCACACUGGGACUGAGACACGGCCCAGACUCCUACGGGAGGCAGCAGUGGGGAAUUUUGGACAAUGGGCGAAAGCCUGAUCCAGCAAUGCCGCGUGUGUGAAGAAGGCCUUCGGGUUGUAAAGCACUUUUGUCCGGAAAGAAAUGGCUCUGGUUAAUACCUGGGGUCGAUGACGGUACCGGAAGAAUAAGGACCGGCUAACUACGUG
rnacentral:rRNA from 1 species